GACGAACGCUGGCGGCGUGCUUAACACAUGCAAGUCGAACGGUGAAGGGGAGCUUGCUCCCCGGAUCAGUGGCGAACGGGUGAGUAACACGUGGGCAACCUGCCCCAGACUUCGGGAUAACGCUUCGAAAGAGGUGCUAAUACCGGAUACGAACUCCUUGGGCAUCCCGGGAGUUGGAAAGUUUUUUCGGUCUGGGAUGGGCCCGCGGCCUAUCAGCUUGUUGGUGAGGUAACGGCUCACCAAGGCGACGACGGGUAGCCGGCCUGAGAGGGCGACCGGCCACACUGGGACUGAGACACGGCCCAGACUCUACGGGAGGCAGCAGUGGGAAUAUUGCGCAAUGGGCGAAAGCCUGACGCAGCAACGCCGCGUGAGGGAUGACGGCC
rnacentral:rRNA from 1 species